rnacentral:rRNA from 1 species
GAUGAACGCUGGCGGCGUGCCUAAUACAUGCAAGUCGAGCGAAUGGACUAAGAGCUUGCUCUUAUGAAGUUAGCGGCGGACGGGUGAGUAACACGUGGGUAACCUGCCCAUAAGACUGGGAUAACUCCGGGAAACCGGGGCUAAUACCGGAUAACAUUUUGAACCGCAUGGUUCGAAAUUGAAAGGCGGCUUCGGCUGUCACUUAUGGAUGGACCCGCGUCGCAUUAGCUAGUUGGUGAGGUAACGGCUCACCAAGGCAACGAUGCGUAGCCGACCGUAGAGGGUGAUCGGCCACACUGGGACUGAGACACGGCCCAGACUCCUACGGGAGGCAGCAGUAGGGAAUCUUCCGCAAUGGACGAAAGUCUGACGGAGCAACGCCGCGUGAGUGAUGAAGGCUUUCGGGUCGUAAAACUCUGUUGUUAGGGAAGAACAAGUGCUAGUUGAAUAAGCUGGCACCUUGACGGUACCUAACCAGAAAGCCACGGCUAACUACGUGCCAGCAGCCGCAGUAA